rnacentral:lncRNA from 1 species
UGGCGUCCCUGUCUGCAGCGCCGCGUCUGUCGACUUGUCCACGCCCGUGUUUUCCUGCCGUAAGAGGUUGCGCCUGAACUUGGCUCGGGCGUUCUGGAACCAGACCUGCGGGGGACGACAGGGAAGGGCUGGUGAGCGGAAGGCAGGCAGAGCAUCCCCCCGACUGCUUCACUCAGAGCUCUGCUGCCUCUGGGGACGCUGAUCUGUGUUUUGCCAAGAGGAUCCAAAAAGUCAGAGACGGGGUCUUGCAAUGUUGACCAGGCUGGUCUCAAACUCCAGGCUUCAAGUGAUCCCUCCUGCCUCAGCCUCCUAAAGCGUUGGGAUUACAGAUGUGGUUCCAGAGCUGAGCUGUACUCCCGAAUAUCACAGCCACGAGCCACGUAUGGCUGCUGAGCACUUAAAAUGGCAUUAGCCCAAAUUCAACCAGUCUGCAGGUGAAAACACACAACCUAUCUGAAGGCUGAAUAUGAAAAAAAAAGCAGGUAGAAUAUCUCAAUAAUUUUUAUAUUGAUUACAUGUCGAAAUGAUUAAUAGUUUGGCUAUACUGAGUUAAGCAAAAUACAUUAUUAAAAUUAAUUUUACUUUUACUUGUCUCUCUUCAUUUCUUCAAGGAGGCUACUAGGACAUUUAAAACUUAAAAUUAAAUGUGUGCCUCAUGUUGCAUUUCUAUCAGACACACCAAACACACACACCAGACAAAUCUUGAUCCUUUUCCUAAUGGUUCUUUGAGACAUUCCUUUUUUUUUUUUCUUUUUCCUUUUUUGGCAGUUGCCUUUCAGCAGACAAUAAACCCCACAAGUUCUUGUUGGUAAAAUGUUUUAAAUGUUUUGUGGUCAGUAAGUCUGGGAAUGCGAUAAAGAACACAUGAGAAUCAGGCAAUAAUAAUGAGUUACUAAGAGGAAGUGAAAGACACGGAACCUAUCCCCAUCAUCGGUUGGGGGAGCCACCAGGUACCCUGGGCCACUGGGUGUCAGGUCUCAGGGUGGAGGUGGGUGGAGGUAGGCAGCGUGGGAACGGCAGCCAAAUUAAAGUGAGGCCAGGGAAGUUGAAACCCGCAGAGUCUCUCUCCCGACCUGCUGCAUCCCGUAUCGACUUAUGAGGGACGUGCGGCGGGGCGCAGAGCUGGGGCUGAGCUCUGUCUGAAAAGAAUGUCAGUGAGAGAACAUGGGUUUACUUUCAUUUUUCCUUGGGCACAGACACACACGCGUCCACUCCCAUAUCUUUGCACACACGCCUGUAAGCAUUCAGGAAGACACACAGAAAUUCAUCUAAGGACGGGCACAGUGGCUCAAGCCCGUAAUCCCAGCACUUUGGGAGGCCGAGGCAGGUGGAUCACUUGAGGUCAGCAGUUCGAGACCAGCCUGUCCAACAUGGUGAAACCCCAUCUCUACUAAAAAUAUAAAAAAUUAGCUGGGUGUGAUGGUGCGCUCCUGUAACCUCAGCUACUCGGGAGGCUGAGACAGAAGAACUGCUUGAACCCGGGAGGCGGAGGAUACAGUGAGCCAAGAUCCCACCACUGCACUCCAGCCUGGGCCACAGAGCAAGACUCCAUCUCAAAAAAAAAAAAAAAAAAAAAAGAAAAGAAAAAUGAAAUUCAUCUACACAGCCAGCACCUAAGUACCACCACCCAUCUAACAGCACAAACACAGGGACCCGCUGUACCCAGAGGUCCACGAAGUACUUUGGGAGGGGCUUAGGAAAUCCAGGCCACUCUGGGGGGGUUGAACCUUCCAAGGAAAAAGUCCUGAAAGGCAGGGCCCCUUCACUUCCCUUUGCGUGAGGAAAACACCCGCCAGAAGCCUCCCCAUAAAACAAAGGGCCUCAGGGCACUCUGCAGAUUCUGGGGUGUCCAGUUGCGCAUUUCCAGAUGUCCUGCAUCUGCCUGUCUUCCCAGUGUCUCUGGCAGGAGAGGGAGGGCUGACUCCUGGCCCCACGCACCCCUUGGGACCACCCCGGCUGCAGGGGCCUGUGGCCUCAAACCCCCGUUUCUGGUGGCGUAACACAAUUUGGGCUCAAUUAAAAGCAAAUCCACAAGAAUCUUGGAGUAAAGUGGGAGAUCCAGACCCUGUGAAGUGGAGAAACCAAGCUCCCUCCUCAGUGCUGGAUCUUCCCAGGAAGAAGGCACAUUUUCCCUGGCUCUCCGCCCAAAGAAAGCCCAUCACCCCUUCUGGGGGCUGGCAAAUAAGUACAGUGCUUCUCAGACCACCCUUGACAUGCUUUCCCUGGGGUGGGGGGGUCCUUCCCUUUCCCGGCCAGCAGAAAUCUGUAGGGGAGAGACUGUGUCCUGGUGGCCUAAAGAAAAUGGAUGGGGAAGCCCCCAGAGGCCCUCAGAGAGAGGAAGUGACUUCCCCAAAGUCAUGCAGAUUGGGGUGGAGAAGGCCGGAGCCUUGGUGCCGCUGCCUUGCCACUGUCCUGGCCUGUGUGCGUGUGACCCCUGAGCAGCCUGUGCUCUGUGCGUCUGACUCUCAGAGCAGUAGCUGGAGCGGGGAGCCUGGGUCGAGGGUUUGAGGGUGCUUUGCCGGGUGCUCAUUUGCUCAUCCAUCCGGGGCUCCAAGACCUCGGGCAGGGCUGGACCCGGUUAGUUGCCGGCUGUUUGCUAUUUCUCAGGCUGUUGCCCCUAACAGUGGGCUUGUAAACAAUGACACCAUCGUCCACAACUACCUUCUCUGCUUUCCAGAGCUGAGGCACUGGGAAUCUGGUAGAUGAAAAUUCAACAACUUCAUUAAAAGCCCGGCUGCUCUGGGGUUGUGUGGGGUUUGUUCUUCAUGUUGUCAGGGCUUCACUAGAAUUCUCUCCCAGGUAUUUCAAAAAGUCCACUCCUGAGAGUUUGAUGGGAGCAGGGACCCUUUCUAUGCUAUCUUCAUGUCCCCCGGUGCAUGGCAGAGACUGGCAGAGAUUAAGAAUCAGUAAUAUGUAUUCAUAGGAAUGGCUGACAUGUAUGUACCUUUUACUAUGUGCCAGGCUCCAUGCCACCCUCCAGCAUGCACUGCCACAGGUUAUUCCCAUGAAAAGCCAAGUAGGUGGAUUCGACUAUUAUUAUUCCCAUUUUAUAGAUUUAUUUAUUGACUAUUAUUAUUAUUAUUAUUAUUUUUUGAGACAGAGUCUUGCUCUGUCACCCAGGCUGGAGUGCAGUGGCACGAUCUCAGCUCAUUUCAACCUCUGCCUCCCAGGUUCAAGUGAUUCUCUCCUGCCUCAAUCUCCUGAGUGGCUGGGAUUACAGGCACCCGCCACCAUGCCUGGCUAAUUUUUUUGUAUUUUUAGUACAGACGGAGUUUCACCAUGUUGGCCAGGCUGGUCUUGAACUCCUGACCUCAGGUGAUCCGCCCACCUUGGCCUCCCAAAGUUCUGGGAUUAUAGGCAUGAGCCACCGUGCCUGCCCUCACUGUAUAGAUUUAAAAACCAGAGAGGGUCAGAGUGGUAAAACCACUUGCCAAAGGUCACACAGAGGGCAACCUGAGACUGGAAUCCAGGACCACUUGCCCUAAAAGAGUCCAUGCUCUCCCUGCCACAUGGUCCUGAGGGAGGUAGCAAGUCCAUGAAUGAGUGAAUAAAUGGAUGAAGAAACAGAGAAGCAACUAUAGUGCAGUGGAAAGAGCAGCUUCCAGUCCUGGGACUACCACGUGACCUCGGGUUUGUCCCUCACCUCUGGACCGGCCUCAGUUUCUUCACUUGUACAACAAGAGGGUUAGACCACAUCAUACGAUCUCUAUGGCUCUCAGGGUUCUGACAGGCUGGGAUUCUUAGGCAGCUGCAAGCAACAAGGUGCAGUCUGCCCCACCCACCCAUCUUCUGAAACUGACAGGCCUUCUCUUUUCACAUGCCUCAAGUUCUCUGGACUGUGUGUCUGGGACAAGAAGGCGAAGUUCAGACAGAGAAUCAUCAGGACACAACUAACACCAGGCCGGGGUGCCCCAGCCUGGUGCGCGGUAGAUCUCCAAUAAGCCCUGGGUAGAUGAAGAAGCACACGUUGCUUCUUGCCCCUUCCCAGGCACUACCUGACCAUGCAAGUUGUGUUUUGCCUCACAAACCUCCUUCCCCAGAAUUCUUUCAUCAAGAAAGCCAGGAGGGCCAGUGGGAAACCCACUUUGCCCCCAGCAAAUCCCCACCUGGGAUGCUAAGGAAAUCAGCCAAAAGAUGAAAGCUUCAUGCCCAUCAUGGCAUUUUUAAUAACAUCAAACUAAUGGCUGCAUCCAAAGUGUCCACUCAGAUGCGGCAAGUGGGAGUCAUGACACAGCCACUCCACGAUGCCACAGGGGAAAUGUCUUGUGAUGGCUGUUAGGUGAAAAAAAGGAUAAAAAAAAACUAUGCCUUCUGGUAUUGUACCUUCAUAAAGCAAAUAAUAAUGAUGAAUACUAUUCCUCAUGAAGUGCCAGGCAUCUUUUUUUUUGAG